rnacentral:rRNA from 1 species
UACAGAGGGUGCGAGCGUUAAUCGGAAUUACUGGGCGUAAAGCGUGCGUAGACGGUUAUUUAAGUCGGGUGUGAAAGCCCCGGGCUCAACCUGGGAAUUGCAUUCGAGACUGAAUAGCUAGGGUACGGUAGAGGGAAGUGGAAUUUCCGGUGUAGCGGUGAAAUGCGUAGAUAUCUGGAGGAACACCGGUGGCGAAGGCGGCAUCCUGGACCGGCAUUGACGCUGAGGCGCGAAAGCCAGGG